AAUAGUGUGCUUGACAAAAAGGCCGUCUUGAUAGGGCGGAACAUGUGGAAUCUCCACCACUAUUA
rnacentral:tRNA from 1 species